rnacentral:rRNA from 1 species
UCGCAUCUGUGCAUGCAGCAUAUCAAUAAGCGGAGGAAAAGAAACUAACAAGGAUUCCCCUAGUAACGGCGAGUGAAGCGGGAAGAGCUCAAAUUUGAAAUCUUAAAGGGUUUCCCUUUACGAAUUGUAGUUUAAAGAAGUGUUUUCUGUUGAGGUUUUGGUAAAAGUUCUUUGGAAUAGGACAUCAUAGAGGGUGAGAAUCCCGUAUUUGACCUUUACUUUCAACUUUGUGAUACACUUUCAAAGAGUCGGAUUGUUCGGGAAUGCAGUCCAAAAUGGGUGGUAAAUUUCAUCUAAAGCUAAAUAUUGGCGAGAGACCGACUAGCGAACAAGUACCGUGAGGGAAAGAUGAAAAGAACUUUGAAAAGAGAGUUAAACAGUACGUGAAAGUUGUCAAAAGGGAAGCGUUUGACACCAGUGUUGUUUUUCUGAAAAUCAAUCAAAGAACUGUUUAUGCUAAGUUGUUUAGACUUUAUCAGCUAACUGUUUAGUUUUGAGCUUUUCUUUAAUGCACUUUUCAGUUAACAAGUCAACAUCAAUUUCUUUUGCUGUAAAAAAGCUUGAGGAAGGUGGCUUGAGAUUCGUCUUAAGUGUUUAUAGCCUCUUGCCUAUGCAGUCGGAGAGAUUGAGGUCUGCAGCGUAGAUCCUUCGGGGCUAAAUGCAUUUGUGCUAAGUUAUAGCAUUUUAUAGACAACUUGUUGACUAUGAUUUGUCUUGUAGCUUACUCGCUUAUGUUAUUUUACCUACGCUUAGGAUGUUGAGUCAUCACACAUCUCU